GCUCUUUCCUCGAUGUGUUUUACCCAGCAAUUGAUGUGCUUUUGGCUGAAGGUAUGUUUUAGCAACGACUCGUGUUUUAUUUUGCUACAGGGUCCAGCAACCUAAGUCUUCCCUGCUUUCAUUACUCCACACUUUCGUCAGUACUCACAAAACGCGCUUCUCCCUAUCCUCCCAUGAAUUGGUGGAUGAGGCAGAAAGAAUGAAGUGAGACUCGAGUUACGCCAUCGGCUGGAAGACGGCCCAGAGGAUGUGGAUAGAGUGGCCCUACAGGGGUUGACCCUGAACCAGACUCCCUGCCCUCCCCACCCCCAGACAGCAACCGACUACAGCCCUGCGACCCACCACCAAGCCCCCGUCAAAUGGGUUCGCCACAUCAUCCGCAGCGUGGAGGAGCAGUUUGUCGACGCAGAGGAUUGAGGUCCGGUGUGUCCUGAUACACUUUUUAUUAGUUAACUCUUUAAUCGUAAGCUCUUAGGAAUGAUAUUUUAGUUGGUUUCUCAGGUGUCAGGGUUAGGGUUAGUAUUACUUGUUCCUUGGUUUGUUAAUGAAUUAGGAUGUCAUAUUUGUAGCCUCGUUGACAGUUGGGUUACAUGUUAACAAUUCAUUAUUUUUUUUGUGAAUCAUUUCAAUAGAUGUGUAGUCUAACUCUUAACUAAAAGAGAAAUUGUAGUUUUUAUCUUAUUUUUUAAAUACUUUUGUUUUAAAAGCAAUCACCUGAUAUAGGCCCAUGUGUUCAAGUGUCACUCCCUUUAAAAUCAUAUGUGUUAAAAUGGAGAGGGCACAGUGCAAGAAUAAGUAUGUUUGGAUAUAUUCUCAAAUGGAUUUUCCUGAUUGAUUCUGAGCCCAUGGAGAGCAAGAGGUCAGGUUGCCAUGACUACAGCACCCUGUAAGACACCACCCACUGGGCACAGAUGUCAAUUCAACGUCUAUUCCAAGUUGGUUCAAUGUAAUUUCAUUGAAAUGGUGUGGAAACAAUGUUGAUUCAACCAGUGUGCGCUCAGUGGAAAUGAAAUUCAGCUUUUGAGAUCCAAGAUAUCUUUAAUGCAAAUAAACCAUGCAUUUUAACAA
ensembl:lncRNA